UACGCACGCUGGCGGCGUGCUUAACACAUGCAAGUCGAACGGAAAGGCCCUGCUUUUGUGGGGUGCUCGAGUGGCGAACGGGUGAGUAACACGUGAGUAACCUGCCCUUGACUUUGGGAUAACUUCAGGAAACUGGGGCUAAUACCGGAUAGGAGCUCCUGCUGCAUGGUGGGGGUUGGAAAGUUUCGGCGGUUGGGGAUGGACUCGCGGCUUAUCAGCUUGUUGGUGGGGUAGUGGCUUACCAAGGCUUUGACGGGUAGCCGGCCUGAUAGGGUGACCGGCCACAUUGGGACUGAGAUACGGCCCAGACUCCUACGGGAGGCAGCAGUGGGGAAUAUUGCACAAUGGGCGGAAGCCUGAUGCAGCAACGCCGCGUGCGGGAUGACGGCCUUCGGUUUGUAAACCGCUUUCGCCUGUGACGAAGCGUGAGUGACGGUAAUGGGUAAAGAAGCACCGGCUAACUACGUG
rnacentral:rRNA from 1 species